rnacentral:rRNA from 36 species
GCGACCCCAGGACGGGCG